AAGCCAGACACAAAAAACCGCAUAUUGUGUAAUUCCAUAUAGAUAAAUAAGAGUAAAAUUUGUCCCCGUUGCCAGAACACAGGCUGUGGCUGUCAAUCAGGAUAUGGGUGGGGCUCACAAUGGGGCAACAGGAGGUGCUUCUGAGAUGCUGAAAAUAUUCUAUCUUUUGACCUAGGAGGCAACCUCGUGGGUGGGUUUCUGUUGCACAAGUUCACUGAAUGUUACAUUCUGUUUUUUUUUUUUUUAAUUUUCUACAUCUAUUUUAAUACUAUUUUUCUAGAAUAAAUAAAGUGAAAAUAGAAAUAGAGUUGAGAGAGAUCUAAGGCAGUCCUUCAUCUCACUGCAGGGUGUUGCCUCUGGGGCCCAGAGGAGCACCCAUACAGCAGGCUGUCAGGGUCCUCUGAGGGUGACCGGCUUCACACCUUCUCUGCCCCACCCUCCCAGCUAAGCUGCCCAAAGGAAGUCAGUCUCCCCAAGUCUUUGCUCCGCCACCCUCUCUCCCAGCCCUUUAUCACGUCUCUACCAUCACCCCUGCCCCUACCUCACCCACACAUCCUUGGAAAGCUUAUCAGAAUAAUUUUAGCAUCACUCCGUCAUCUACAAAACCACCUUCCCCUUCCUGGGAAGUACAGAGGGGCAAGAGCGGUUCCUGGUAAAUAUGAAGCAAAGAUGUAUUUCCCAAUUCAUCCGUUGCAGGCGAUUGCGUGGUCACUGCUGAUCCACCCUGCUGUGAGAAGCUCCGCUUGGAACUGUGGGUGCCCUGUGUGUCCUCUGAGGGAGGCUCCUCGGUGGCCCUGCCAGUGGCUCCAGCUGUGGAGGGCUUGCUCUUCCCUACAUUCAGGGUCAGACGUUUUGAACGCAUCAACUCUCUUAAUCAGCAUGACACCGUUUUGAGGCAGGAAUAAGCACCAUCCUUCUUUCCAGUC
rnacentral:lncRNA from 1 species